GAGGGUAGAGCUCAGUGGUAGAGUGAGUGCUUAGCAUGCACAAUGUCCUGCGUUCAAUCCCCAGCGCCUCCA
rnacentral:tRNA from 1 species